GUCCUGGGGAUAGCUCAGUCUGUUGAGCAUGAGGCUCUUAAGCUCAGGGUCGUGGGUUUUAGUGCCACGUUGGGCA